rnacentral:rRNA from 1 species
GAUGAACGCUAGCGGCAUACUUAAUACAUGUGAGUCGAGGGGCAGCGGAUCCAUCUUGGGAUGCCGGCGACCAGCGAACGAGUGAUUAAUACCUAUGGAAUCUACCCUUAUCUGGGGAAUAACCUUGAGAAAUCCAGGGUAAUGCCCCAUACCAUCUUGAAAAGGCAUCUUUUCACAUGAAAGCUCCCGCCGUUAAAGAUAGACAUGCGCUCCAAUAACUUGUUGGUGAGAUAACCGCUCACCAAGGCCGCCAUUGAUAACUGAUCUGAAAAGAUGAUCAACCACAUUGGCACUGAAACACCGGCCAAACUCCUACCGGAAGCAACAGUAGGGAAUCUUGGUCAAUUGGCGAAAGCCAUAACCAGUCAUGCCGCGUGCAGGAUGAAAGCCCUACGGGUCGUAAACUGCUUUUAUUCGGGAAGAAAAAGUCUGUUUCCACAGACCUUGACGGUACCGAUUGAAUAAGGACCGGCCAACUCCGUGCCAGCAGCCGCGGUAAUACGGAGGGUCCAAGCGUUAUCCGGAUUCACUGGGUUUAAAGGGUGCGCACGCGGCCAAGUAAGUCAGUGGUGAAAGCCUUCGGCUCAACCGGAGAAUUGCCAUUGAAACUACUUGGCUUGAGUGCAGUAGAGGUAGGCGGAAUGUAACAUGUAGCGGUGAAAUGCAUAGAUAUGCUACAGAACACCGAUAGCGAAAGCAGCUUACCACACUGUAACUGACGCUGAGGCACGAAAGCAUGGGUAGCAAACAGGAUUAGAUACCCUGGUAGUCCAUGCCGUACACUUUGAACACUCGGAGUUUGCCACCUAGUGGUAAGCUCCCUAGUGAAAGCGUUAAGUGUUCCACCUGGGGAGUACGGCCGCAAGAGAUAAAACUCAAAGGAACUGAGCGGGGGCCGCGCACAAGCGGAGGAGCAUGUGGUUUAAUUACAUGAUACGCGCAGGAACAUUACCCGGGCCAUAAUGCGUGUGACAGGUGCGGAAACAGAGUGUUCGUUAGGGACACAGUGCAAGUUGUUGCAUGGCUGUCGUCAGCUCGUGCCGUGAGGUGUUGGGGUAAGUCCCCCUAACGAGCGCAACCCCUAUGUUUAGUCGCCAGCAUUUUCAGGUGGGCACUGUAACGAAACUGCGUAAGUAAGUGGAGAGGAAGGAGGGGAUGAGGCCAAGUCAUCAUGGCCACUAUGCCGGGGGAUACACACAUGCUACAAGGGGGGGUGCAGAGGGAAGCCACUAGUCAACAAGGGGCUUAUCCCUAAAGACCAUCGUAGUUAGGUUGAGUGUCUGCAACUGGAAUCCAUGAAGAUGGAUUAUCUGGUAAUCGUGGAUCAGCAAGGUCACGGUGCAAUAGGUCUACCCGGGCCUUGUACACACCGGCGUUCAAGCCACGGAAGUCGGGAGUACUAGAAGCCAGUAACAGUACAGGAGCGGACGAGGGUAAGCUUGGCAACUGGGGUU